rnacentral:rRNA from 1 species
UUAAGCGACUAAGCGUACACGGUGGAUGCCCUGGCAGUCAGAGGCGAUGAAGGACGUGCUAAUCUGCGAAAAGCGUCGGUAAGGUGAUAUGAACCGUUAUAACCGGCGAUGUCCGAAUGGGGAAACCCAGUGCAAUUCGUUGCACUAUCGUUAACUGAAUACAUAGGUUAACGAGGCGAACCGGGGGAACUGAAACAUCUAAGUACCCCGAGGAAAAGAAAUCAACCGAGAUUCCCCCAGUAGCGGCGAGCGAACGGGGAGCAGCCCAGAGUCUGAAUCAGCUUGUGUGUUAGUGGAACGGUCUGGAAAGUCCGACGGUACAGGGUGAUAGUCCCGUACACCAAAAUGCACAGGCUGUGAACUCGAAGAGUAGGGCGGGACACGUGGUAUCCUGUCUGAAUAUGGGGGGACCAUCCUCCAAGGCUAAAUACUCCUGACUGACCGAUAGUGAACCAGUACCGUGAGGGAAAGGCGAAAAGAACCCCGGCGAGGGGAGUGAAAAAGAACCUGAAACCGUGUACGUACAAGCAGUGGGAGCACCUUCGGGUGUGACUGCGUACCUUUUGUAUAAUGGGUCAGCGACUUAUAUUCUGUAGCAAGGUUAACCGUAUAGGGGAGCCGCAGGGAAACCGAGUCUUAACUGGGCGUUAAGUUGCAGGGUAUAGACCCGAAACCCGGUGAUCUAGCCAUGGGCAGGUUGAAGGUUGGGUAACACUAACUGGAGGACCGAACCGACUAAUGUUGAAAAAUUAGCGGAUGACUUGUGGCUGGGGGUGAAAGGCCAAUCAAACCGGGAGAUAGCUGGUUCUCCCCGAAAGCUAUUUAGGUAGCGCCUCGUGAAUUCAUCUUCGGGGGUAGAGCACUGUUUCGGCUAGGGGGUCAUCCCGACUUACCAACCCGAUGCAAACUACGAAUACCGAAGAAUGUUAUCACGGGAGACACACGGCGGGUGCUAACGUCUGUCGUGAAGAGGGAAACAACCCAGACCGCCAGCUAAGGUCCCAAAGUCAUGGUUAAGUGGGAAACGAUGUGGGAAGGCACAGACAGCCAGGAUGUUGGCUUAGAAGCAGCCAUCAUUUAAAGAAAGCGUAAUAGCUCACUGGUCGAGUCAGCCUACGCCGAAGAUGUAACGGGGAUAAACCAUGCACGGAAUUUCCGGCAGCGACACUAUGUGUUGUUGGGUAGGGGAGCGUUCUGUAAGCCUGCGAAGGUGACCUGUGAGGCUUGCUGGAGGUAUCAGAAGUGCGAAUGCUGACAUAAGUAACGAUAAAGCGGGUGAAAAGCCCGCUCGCCGGAAGACCAAGGGUUCCUGUCCAACGUUAAUCGGGGCAGGGUGAGUCGACCCCUAAGGCGAGGCCGAAAGGCGUAGUCGAUGGGAAACAGGUUAAUAUUCCUGUACUUGGUGUUACUGCGAAGGGGGGACGGAGAAGGCUAUGUUAGCCGGGCGACGGUUGUCCCGGUUUAAGCAUGUAGGCUGGUUGUCCAGGCAAAUCCGGAUAAUCAAGGCUGAGGUGUGAUGACGAGGCACUACGGUGCUGAAGUAACAAAUGCCCUGCUUCCAGGAAAAGCCUCUAAGCAUCAGGUAACAUCAAAUCGUACCCCAAACCGACACAGGUGGUCAGGUAGAGAAUACCAAGGCGCUUGAGAGAACUCGGGUGAAGGAACUAGGCAAAAUGGUGCCGUAACUUCGGGAGAAGGCACGCUGGUGUGUAGGUGAAGUCCCUGCGGAUGGAGCUGAGACCAGUCGAAGAUACCAGCUGGCUGCAACUGUUUAUUAAAAACACAGCACUGUGCAAACACGAAAGUGGACGUAUACGGUGUGACGCCUGCCCGGUGCCGGAAGGUUAAUUGAUGGGGUUAUCCGUAAGGAGAAGCUCUUGAUCGAAGCCCCGGUAAACGGCGGCCGUAACUAUAACGGUCCUAAGGUAGCGAAAUUCCUUGUCGGGUAAGUUCCGACCUGCACGAAUGGCGUAAUGAUGGCCAGGCUGUCUCCACCCGAGACUCAGUGAAAUUGAACUCGCUGUGAAGAUGCAGUGUACCCGCGGCAAGACGGAAAGACCCCGUGAACCUUUACUAUAGCUUGACACUGAACAUUGAGCCUUGAUGUGUAGGAUAGGUGGGAGGCUUUGAAGCGUGGACGCCAGUCUGCGUGGAGCCAACCUUGAAAUACCACCCUUUAAUGUUUGAUGUUCUAACGUUGGCCCCUGACCGGGGUUGCGGACCAGUGUCUGGUGGGUAGUUUGACUGGGGCGGUCUCCUCCCAAAGCGUAACGGAGGAGCACGAAGGUUAGCUAAUCCUGGUCGGACAUCAGGAGGUUAGUGCAAUGGCAUAAGCUAGCUUGACUGCGAGCGUGACGGCGCGAGCAGGUGCGAAAGCAGGUCAUAGUGAUCCGGUGGUUCUGAAUGGAAGGGCCAUCGCUCAACGGAUAAAAGGUACUCCGGGGAUAACAGGCUGAACCGCCCAAGAGUCAAUGACGCGUCC